rnacentral:tRNA from 1 species
GCCGCUGUGGUGGAAUGGCAGACACAAGGGACUUAAAAUCCCUCGGAGUAACAUCCGUACCGGUUCGAGUCCGGUUAGCGGCACCA